rnacentral:rRNA from 1 species
UACGGGGGGAGCGAGCGUUGUUCGGAUUUACUGGGCGUAAAGGGCGCGUAGGUGGGUCUUCAAGUCAAAUGUGAAAACCGACGGCUUAACCAUCGGCCUGCAUUUGAUACUGUCGAUCUUGAGUACGGGAGAGGAAAGCGGAAUUCCUGGUGUAGCGGUGAAAUGCGUAGAUAUCAGGAGGAACACCGGUGGCGAAGGCGGCUUUCUGGCCCGAUACUGACACUGAGGCGCGAAGGCCGGGGGAGCAAACAGGAUUAGAAACCCGUGUAGUCC